CGUAGGGACCGAGCGUUGUCCGGAAUCAUUGGGCGUAAAGAGCGUGUAGGCGGCCUGUUAAGUCUUGCGUGAAAUCUCGGGGCUCAACCCCGAGCGGUCGUGAGAAACUGGCAGGCUAGAGUGCGGGAGAGGAGAGUGGAAUUCCUGGUGUAGCGGUGAAAUGCGCAGAUAUCAGGAAGAACACCCGUGGCGAAGGCGGCUCUCUGGAACGCAACUGACGCUGAGACGCGAAAGCGUGGGGAGCAAACAGGAUUAGAUACCCUGGUAGUCCACGCCGUAAACGAUGGACGCUAGGUGUGGGCGGUGUCGACUCCGUCCGUGCCGAAGCUAACGCAUUAAGCGUCCCGCCUGGGGAGUACGGCCGCAAGGCUA
rnacentral:rRNA from 1 species